rnacentral:rRNA from 1 species
UACCAGACUCCUACGGGAGGCAGCAGUGGGGAAUAUUGCGCAAUGGGGGGAACCCUGACGCAGCGACGCCGCGUGAGUGAAGAAGGCCUUCGGGUUGUAAAGCUCUUUAAUCAGGGACGAAGAAUGACGGUACCUGAAGAAGAAGCCCCGGCUAACUACGUGCCAGCAGCCGCGGUAAUACGUAGGGGGCAAGCGUUAUCCGGAUUUACUGGGUGUAAAGGGGGCGCAGACGGCGAUGCAAGCCAGGAGUGAAAGCCCGGGGCCCAACCCCGGGACUGCUCUUGGAACUGCGUGGCUGGAGUGCAGGAGGGGCAGGCGGAAUUCCUGGUGUAGCGGUGAAAUGCGUAGAUAUCAGGAGGAACACCGGUGGCGAAGGCGGCCUGCUGGACUGCAACUGACGUUGAGGCCCGAAAGCGUGGGGAGCAAACAGGAUUAGAUACCCCAGUA